GUGUUCGUGCUCGCAAUUAUAGCGUUUC
rnacentral:sRNA from 1 species